rnacentral:rRNA from 1 species
UACGUAGGGGGGCAAGCGUUGUCCGGAUUUAUUGGGCGUAAAGAGCGUGUAGGCGGCCAGACAGGUCAGCUGUGAAAACUCGAGGCUCAACCUCGAGACGUCGGUUGAAACCGUCUGGCUAGAGUCCGGAAGAGGAGAGUGGAAUUCCCGGUGGUAGCGGUGAAAUGCGCAGAUAUCGGGGAAGAACACCCGUGGCGAAG